GCGAAGCUGACGGGAACAGGCAUACCUGCCGAACUCAAAAUUCGGUGCUUCCCGGUUCGAUUCCGGGGCUUCGCACCA
rnacentral:tRNA from 1 species